CCCUUAGAUGUUCUGGGCCGCACGCGCGCUACACUGACGAAUGCAACGAGCUUAUAACCUUGGCCGAAAGGUCUGGGUAAUCUCCAAAUUUCGUCGUGAUGGGGAUAGAUUAUUGCAAUUAUUAAUCUUCAACGAGGAAUGCCUAGUAAGCGCAAGUCAUCAGCUUGCGUUGAUUACGUCCCUGCCCUUUGUACACACCGCCCGUCGCUCCUACCGAAUGAAUGGUCCGGUGAAGCGUUCGGACCGUGGCCUUUGGACGGUUCGCCGUCUGUUGGCUGCGGGAAGUUCGUUAAACCUUAUCAUUUAGAGGAAGGAGAAGUCGUAACA
rnacentral:rRNA from 1 species